rnacentral:lncRNA from 1 species
AAACUAUCUCAUGAAUAACCUCUAUUUAUAAUUUAGUAUCCCUUUCUUAAUAAGGGUUAUAGGCCACCCAUAAUUCUCAAUGAAAGCCCAAUUUCCAUAAUUUAAUAUUAUGAAAAUUUGUGGCGUUACAAGAGGAGUCCUCAACCUACUUAAGAACUACCAUACGAAACUUAAUCUUGAGAAGUGUGUUUGGAGUGAGCUCAGACAAGUUUUUAGGGUUGACAAUAAGCCACACAGGGAUAGAGGCAAGUCCUAAAAAGACUAAUGCAAUUUUUUAUUUGCUAUGGUAUUGAUUACAUUGAUUCAUUCUAUAAAUAACCAACAGUACAAUAAAUAGUAAAUGAAGAAUCUUUGAUGCUCAAGAAGCAACUUGCUUCUAGUAUAGGUCACUUACUGUUCUUCCUUGUUUCUAAGAAAAAGUAGUAUGCUACUUGAAUCAAACCUUUCUUACAUAUAAUUAAUCCAUUACAUUUGGUUUCUUCGUCUAUUAUCUAUCUUUCAAGAAUAAAGACAUAGUGCUUAGUGUGAGUAUUGAUAUUUAUUUAAUUCAGCUGCAGCACGAGAAUUGCAGUUGCAUGAGAAUGAAUAUUAUCAAAAUGCAUAUAUAGAAAUUGUUGUUAAUUGCUAGCAAAGAGUUUGCUAAAUGGCUUUCAAACAAUUUUAUUUGAUUGGCUACCAAAGUUCAAGCCUAAGGAGACAUGAUUAAAAUAGUAAUUUGAGUUUUGUCCAUCUCUCUAUCUUUUAAGAGGAAAAAAAAGGUUGUUAAUUAAUGUAAUACAUAUGCGUGUAGCACUUGAGUUUGCUUUUGACCUCACUAUUAAGCACCAACCCUCGAUGAAGAUUCCAAGUUUGACAGGCUACUUCUAAUAAUGACAAUAUAUAUGUUGUUCUCCACUUAUUUGUUUUGGUGUUUCAUUGUGAAAAACAUUAUAGAUAAUUAAAUCCUUUUUCUUUCAUUAUAUUUCGGUUCUUAUAAGAACAUUUGUGAGAGUUUUAUCUCUCCUUUUUGUGGGAGUUUAUUGACAAACUUUAUUUAUACUGAUACUCAUCUUGAGUUGAUGAAUGCUACGUAAAAAUUUAUUUUUGUUAGCAAGAUUGGUUGAAAAGGACUUAUAUAUAGGGAAAAAAAUUCACCUUCAAAGUUUGCUUAAAUAGUUACAUAGAUCCUUUGCUUUUAUAAAUGGUCAUACAAGCUCUUUUUUAACAAUUAUACCCUUUGAUUAUAACAACCCAAAAAAUGACUUCAAAUAACAUUCUAU